GGGUGGGACCGGCGUGGCGGAGCCCAGUGAACCCCGUCAGGUCCGAGAGGAAGCAGCGGUAAGCCGGUUACUCCGGGUGCCGCCGGUAAUCCUGCCCGGG
rnacentral:SRP_RNA from 1 species